CUAGCCACCAUUUCUCAAAAAGGAGAAGAUCUUGCAAUUAUCAAAGGGAAGUAAGAAGGUUUCAAGAAUAAUUAAAGCAGUCAAACUUUUGACUGUUGAUUUUUGUGUAAUCAAGAGAAGAAGUUGCAGGUACAAGUUCUUGAUGUGCAUGGAAAUCAUAAGCAUCCGGAUGGGAGCUUUCCGUACACGAGUACUUUAUUAUUUAAGCUAUCUUAAAUGUUAUGUUUGACUUUACUUGACCAAUGGGGUCAAGGUUUGACUUUGAAGAUGGGACUAGUAUGGGAUAGUCUCGGAGUUUGUAAUUCAUUUACAUACUUUCUUAUUUCCGUUGUAUUAAAGUAUUUUCAUUUAUUUUAAAAGACUUCCGCUGUAUUAUCUGAUUAGCCUUACGUAUUAUCAUGCGUGGCAUAACAACUUCUGCAAUUUCUCCUAGUUUAUCAAAGGAGGAGUCGUGGGGGUGUUACACCCGGCCCGAGAGGCUGUGGGCCUGGGCCGAGCCGUUGACAAAAUUUGAAACUUUCAAGCUCGGCCCGGCCCGACCCACCAUUUCCCAAAGCCCGCGGGACGAGCCCGUGAACAGGUCCGGUCCAUGCCCAGGUCUAGUCACAAACCGCUUUCUUCUGGAGGUGGCAAGUUUCUUGCUAAAAGUGUCUUACAAGCUGAAGUUCAAAUUCUUCUAUCGUGUCUUCAAUGGGUCAUUCAAAAUGAUGUUGGCUCUCUUAAGAUCUUAAGCUUGGUUGCAUCCAACUGUUACAAAACAAAAGUUCGACUAAUGUAGCGCAUCGAUGGACAGUCCAAAUAUAAUCAACUUGGCUGGCACUCUUCCUUUAUGCUUGAUUUUAAGGUCUCAAGAGACCAAGUCAAAUAUGCUCAUGACUUAGCUAGAGUUUUUCGUUCUUCUCCUUGAUGUGUCUAGUGUAGUUUUAGCUCUUGUCAAAAAAGUAAUAAUAAUCUUACAACGUAU